UGCAAGUCGAGCGGUAAGGCCCUUCGGGGUACACGAGCGGCGAACGGGUGAGUAACACGUGGGUGACCUGCCCUCCACUCUGGGAUAAGCCUGGGAAACUGGGUCUAAUACCGGAUAUGACCACAUAUCGCAUGGUGUGUGGUGGAAAGCUUUACGUGGUGGGGGAUGGACCCGCGGCCUAUCAGCUUGUUGGUGGGGUAAUGGCCUACCAAGGCGACGACGGGUAGCCGGCCUGAGAGGGCGACCGGCCACACUGGGACUGAGACACGGCCCAGACUCCUACGGGAGGCAGCAGUGGGGAAUAUUGCACAAUGGGCGAAAGCCUGAUGCAGCGACGCCGCGUGAGGGAUGACGGCCUUCGGGUUGUAAACCUCUUUCAGCAGGGACGAAGCGAGAGUGACGGUACCUGCAGAAGAAGCACCGGCCAACUACGUGCCAGCAGCCGCGGUAAUACGUAGGGUGCGAGCGUUGUCCGGAAUUACUGGGCGUAAAGAGCUCGUAGGCGGUUUGUCACGUCGGCUGUGAAAACCCAUCGCUCAACGGUGGGCUUGCAGUCGAUACGGGCUGACUUGAGUACUGCAGGGGAGACUGGAAUUCCUGGUGUAGCGGUGAAAUGCGCAGAUAUCAGGAGGAACACCGGUGGCGAAGGCGGGUCUCUGGGCAGUAACUGACGCUGAGGAGCGAAAGCGUGGGUAGCGAACAGGAUUAGAUACCCUGGUAGUCCACGCCGUAAACGGUGGGUGCUAGGUGUGGGUUUCCUUCCACGGGAUCCGUGCCGUAGCUAACGCAUUAAGCACCCCGCCUGGGGAGUACGGCCGCAAGGCUAAAACUC
rnacentral:rRNA from 1 species